CACUUACUUGUAUCUAUAUCUAAUAUCAAUUGUUUCUAUUGAAUACUUCUGAUCAUAGUGAAAUCCCAACAGAAAAGUAAAACCAAGAGAAGAAUACAAAACCAUCUGUCACUUCGAAACUUGUGUUGGCAAACUUGCUCGAGAUAAAUUUAGAAAAAGUACAGAGAGUUCGAGAAGGUAAAUUGAUAGUUUUUGUACUAUUCCCGACUAUUUAUAAAAAUCCUACAAAUACUACGGUCAAUUCAACAGCCAGUUGAUGUUCAGAUUUUCAACAACCUCGAACCACUGGAGUUCCCUUCUAACAUUGACUAGGAAUCUGGGAAAGUGACAUCACUCAUAGCAUAACUAAACCAUUAGUUUCAUUUGAAUUAGAAAAAACUAUCGAAAUGGCUCUUCAGUUCCACCCGCUGGUAUUUGGUCUUAUGUUAGUAGUAGCAGUAGGGACUGUAGCUUACACAUUUUGGUCGAGUCCUUCACAUAAACAGAGCUAUGGAGGUCACCAAAGUAGAUCCUAUGAUAUUCCUCAGAAAUAUUCUAUUGGCUAUGAUACAAACAUAAGGAAAAGCCCCCCCCCAAAAAAAAGGAAAGAAGAUAAAUGCUGCAUCUGCUUAGAUAGCUUGGAAGAUGAUUUGAAAACAUUACCCUGCCUUCACGUGUUUCAUUCUAAUUGCGUCUCAGGGUGGCUUAGUAGCAAUUACACUUGUCCUAUAUGCAGAAAAAUGACUUUUUAAAUAACUAAAGAAAAUACGAGUUCUUUCAAAACUGCCAGGGUCGAUAGUUCCUGACAAUUUAAGUAUCGAAAGAUAACCAUCUUUUUUUAAGCAUUAGUUUAUUAAGGGCCUUCAAACUUUUUAUAGCCAAGAAGAUUGAAUCAAUCUGUAGUUUAUUUCUGUGACGUAACAGACAUUCUAAGCUUCUGUUAUUAAUCGAUAUUAAUUAUUCACUGACCUCAUACUAAGUACCAUUUUGAAUGUGAGAUUUUCACUAGACAGUUUACAAAACCGUGUCAAAUGUUUCACUAUAAUAUAGCUUUCUCAAGCAUUUUCUGUAUGAAUUUUAUCACAUGACUAACGUCAAUAAAUUUAUUUUCAUUUAUAUCACAUGAUUCAAACACAA
rnacentral:lncRNA from 1 species